ensembl:lncRNA
UCACUGGAGGUAGUAAGGUAGUGAUAGGGGAGGGGAGGUCACUGGAGGUAGUGAUAGGGGAGGGGAGGUCACUGGAGGUAGUGAUAGGGGAGGGGAGGUCACUGGAGGUAGUGAUCGGGGAGGGGAGGUCACUGGAGGUAGUAAGGUAGUGAUAGGGGAGGGGAGGUCACUGGAGGUAGUGAUAGGGGAGGGGAGGUCACUGGAGGUAGUGAUAGGGGAGGGGAGGUCACUGGAGGUAGUGAUAGGGGAGGGGAGGUCACUGGAGGUAGUAAGGUAGUGAUAGGGGAGGGGAGGUCACUGGAGGUAGUGUGAGGGGGAAUGAGAAACAACACAACCUAUGCCUCAGCCAUCCUAUUCGUAUCCACACUGACUGGGUAUAAACCUGGCAGAAAUAAUAAGCAGGAAUACAAUAUACAUUACCAUUACCCAUUAUUGUUACGAUAUACAUUACCCAUUAUUGUUACGAUAUACAUUAC